ACCCCCCCCCCCCGCGAGUUCUCUAUUCCGGCUACGGCCCCCCCCAACACGAGCCCUCUACUAUGUCCACGAGCCCCCCCACAAGCUCUCUAUUCGGCCCACGGGCCCCCCCCAGGAGCCCUCUAUUCAGGCGAAUGCCCCCCCCACGAGCCCUCUAUUCGUACCAUCGGCCCCCCCCAAGAGGCCUCUAUUCAGGCAACCGCCCCCCCACGAGCCCUGUACUCCAGCCACCGCCCCCUCCCCCCCAACCACGAGCUCUCUACUCCGGCCACCAGCGCCGCCUCACGAGCCCUCUACUCCGGCCACCGCCCCCCUCCCCCCACGAGCCCUCUAUUCAGGCGAAUGCCCCCCCCCCCACGAGCCCUCUAUUCGGGCCACGAGCCCUCUAUUCCGCCCAACGCCCGCCCACGAGCCCUCUAUUCCGCCCAACGACCCCCCGCCCCCCACGAGCCCUCUAUUCGGCCACUAGACCUCUAUUCUGGCCACAGCCCCCACACAAGGCCGCUAUUCCGGACACCAGCGCGAACCCCCCCCCCACGAGUUCUCUUUUCCGGCCACCGUCCCCCCCCCUCACGAGCUCUCUACUCCGGCCACCGGCGCCCCCCCACAAGCUCUCUAUUCGGCCCACGGGCCCCCCCCAGGAGCCCUCUAUUCAGGCGAAUGCCCCCCCCCAACGAGCCCUCUAUUCGGGCCACGAGCCCUCUAUUCCGCCCAACGCCCUCCCACGAGCCCUCUAUUCCGCCCAACGCCCCCCCCCCCCAACGAGACCUCUAUUCGGCCACUAGGCCUCUAUUCCGGCCACAGCCCCCACACAAGGCCGCUAUUCCGGACACCAGCGCACACCCCCCCCUCCACGAGUUCUCUUUUCCGGCCACCGUCCCCCCCCUCACGAGCUCUCUACUCCGGCCACCGGCGCCCCCCCACAAGCUCUCUAUUCGGCCCACGGGCCCCCCCCAGGAGCCCUCUAUUCAGGCUUAUGCCCCCCCCACGAGCCCUCUACUCCAGCCAUCGCCCCCUCCCCCCCAACCACGAGCUCUCUACUCCGGCCACCGGCGCCGCCUCACGAGCCCUCUACUCCGGCCACCGCCCCCCUCCCCCCGCGAGCCCUCUAUUCGGGCCACGAGGCCUCUAUUCGGGGCACCCUCCCCCCCCACGAGCCUUCUAUUCCGGCCAUCCUCACCCACCUCGGCUCCCCGCCCGGGCACCCGCACCCGACGCAGCCGGGAACUCCGAAGCCCCGGUGCUAACACGGCCCGCGCCCACCCUCUUACCUUCUCCAGCUGGGGGACCGACCCCACGCUCCCACUCACAAGGGUCUGAAGAACUCGCCUCAGCCGCAGAGCCGGGAACUGCGUGGCCGCCUCUCCCAAGCACUCGGUGCGAAGGCCACGCGGGCUUCCAGCUCUCCCAGAAGCCCCCAGGCCGAGAAGCUAGAAAGUUCUCGGCGACGCGCUCUUUACGGAGCAAAUGAUUGGACCAGGAGAGCACGUGAGGAGGCAAAAUGUUACUGUAGCGACUGGGCCUCGCGAGCCGUGGGGGCUCGAGGUUCCAAGGCUCGGAGCCUGCAGAAGGCUCCCCGCCUUCACUUUGCACCCUUACGAUGGCCUCCCGACAAGGCGGUGGCGUCGGAGGGACAGACCUGCAGACCCAGGGCUCAUCGUGGCGAAUCGGGCAGAGUUCCUUCAGAGGUGGCUUUCUGUGGUGGUUGCCCUGUUACAACCAUUCCACAGUGGGUGCUGGCACGCACUCCUAGAACCUGCUCCUGGCCUGCUGCUCUCACGCCCAUCCUUCCAUAAAGGUUGAAUGUUCCGGGCCAAAGGGGCUACCUUCCCUGAGUCUGUCCCACCCUCCGCCAUCCAAUGACUGCCAGCCGAUGUGGGGCGGAGAGGCCCAGUCCCUUUCCCUCAGCAGGCUCAGCCCAUUCCCUGGGAUGUGGGUUUUCUGGGGCUGCUGCCGUGAGUUGCCACGAGCCAGGUGGCUUAAACCUCUAGCAGUGCACGCCCUCGUGGCUCUGGGGGCCGGAAGGCCAAACUUAAGGGUGUUAAUAGGGCUGCGCUCCUUCCAAAAGCUGGGAGCAGGGGAGCGUCUUUCUUGCCUCUCCGGGUCUCGCGGGGCUCUCCGCAUUCCUGGACUGGUGGCCGCACGCCUCCAUCCCCUGUCUACGCCUCCGUGCGGGCUUCUCUCCGUGUGUCUCUUCUGUCUCUCACAAGGACCCGUGUCAUUGGAUUUAGGGCACACCUGGAGAACCCAGGAUGACCUCCAGAUUCUUAACUUCAUCACACCUGCAAAGACCCUUUUUCCAAAAAAGGUCACAGUCACAGGUUCCAGGAGUUAGGAUGUGACACAUCUUUUCAGGGGCCACCGUACACCCAACUAGACCUCAAGAGCCCAGGCCCAGGCCUGCCCAGCCAGUCUCCCCGGGGGAGGGUCAGAGCCCGCAGCGAAGGACCACAGGGGACUCUUCUGCCUCUGUUCCGGGGAAGGGCCCCCAAAGCUGUGUUGCCCUUGGCCUCCUGCGAGGCCUGCUCCCUGCAGCCACAAGUACCCUGAGUGAGUGUCCCAGCUCUCCCCCUGAGCCAGGGGUAAGUAGCUGAAGGCCUCUGGCUGCAGACCAAGGCUCUCCUGGCCAGGGCCUAGGGCCAUUUGAAAACAAGAGAUGCCCGAGCUCUGCUUUUGUGAGGAGGGGUACCGCUCAGAGGCAGAAAGGGUGCCCACCUCAUACUCACUUCCCAGCCCCCCGCCCCGGCGGGGGGGGGGGGGGGGCGGGGAGGGGGGUGUUAGGGGGGUGCUGGGUGGGUGAGACACGCAGUUCGCCGGUUCUUCCUCGUUGCUUUUCUUUGCCAGCCUCUUUCAUAGUCCUGACCUCAAGUAACCCAUUAUCAGUGGAGCAUGCGUCCGGAGUCAGCCCUGGAUUCCAAUCCUGGCUCUGCCACGUGGACGGUGACCUGUCGGAAAAUGGAGAGCCCGGUGCCCAACCUGCAGCCCAGCUCAGUGGUCACGAAAGGGUCUGGGGGGCAGGGGCGGCAGAUGGAAAACGGGUGCGGCUCUUUCCUUCAUCUGUCUGCGCACGGACUUCCCCAAGGUCCCCCCUCAGUGCACCCCCUUUUCUCCUCUUUGCCCUCCUGGCUUAAGUGCGUUGGUCUCUUACUGGGUGCCCCCACAGCAUCCCAUGGAUCCCAGAUGGAUGAACAGAUGACUGGAUGGACUCAAAACUCCCGAGGUCUGACCCACGGGAGGUGCUCGGCCAAUGCCGCCCCUCCCCUGGCCCCUUGGCGGCGGGGGGGGGGGGGCACGGCGGGCCGGCCACUGCUACUCAAGUCCUGGAAGCAGCCCAGAUGGGAAGCAGAAGUGCCCCGGGGUGCCCUGGCAAUCAGGCCAGAUCCCCCGUGGGGCGCGCUGGGACCGGCGCGGGGCCCAGCCGCCCUCCCGCUGCGACGCGCAUGCUCCAUGCCCCCCACCCGCCGCGCUUGGUUCCCACGCCGCCGCCACCGCCGCCGCUGCCGCCCCGGCCCCGCCCGCUCCCCGCCCACCUCCAGGCCCUGCUCCUGGCUCUAGACAGAAGAGGACGGACAGCCUCGCAGAACGCGCCUCCUGAGAGCGGCGCCCAGCUGGCAAGGGAGCCCCCGGAAGGCAUGAAUAAGCUGGAGUCACCCAUGCAGCAAAAGCAUCCUGGGCCCGCUCCCCACCAGCCACUGCCUGGCUCUUCCGCUUCCCCACCGGGGAAUUGCACAUUCUGGCCUCCAGCUGGGUGCGGAGCACAUCCUUGGAGCAAACUUUCUUCGGCCCCGCUGUUUCCUGGCACUGAGAGCCGAUGCGGAGGAAUCAGACACUGCCCGCUCUGUCCCUGACAGACUCUUCCUGCCCUUGGUGUGGAGUGGUAUGUGUGUGUUGGGAGUUUUUCUGUGAGGACCCUGACCUGAGAGGAAAAGGGGUCAGCAGUGGAGCUUCCGGGGAUGGCUGGAAAGUCGGGGUGCAGGGGUCCUGCCCCCAUGGGAAGAAAGGAAUGAGAAAGAGGAAGCCAAGGCUCGCCGGAGAAAGAUGUGUUCGAGUCUUGCGCGCCAGCAGCUGUGACUGGGACCUAACCUGGAUGAGGUGGUGCUGGACUAGGGCGGGCCUCAUCUCGCACUUGGCUUUUGCCAAUCCCCUGAGCUUGUAUGUACCCCCGCGAUGGCAGCCAUUCUCUUGAAGGCCGGACCCAAGGUGAGCGGGGCUGCCUGACCGUCUCCGUCCGCCCCCUCAUCAUGCCCCAGCCUCACAGCUCUGGCAACCCCGAGUCUCCCCUUAGCUGCUGAGUUCUCUGAGUCCCCACCCCCACCCCCACCCCAUGUUUGGCUGCCGCCCGCCCAUCCUGUGACCCAUGGGGCUGAAUUCCCCUGCAGCCCCAGGAAUUUCUCACUUUAGGUGCCGGUAUCGUUUGAAGACGUGCCCGUGUACUUCAUCAAGACAGGAUGGAAGCUUCUGGACCUCAGUCAAAGGAUCCCCUCUACAAGAGAGUGUUGCUGGAGAACUACCGCCAUUUGGUGUCACUGGGCUGCACUGUACAGAGUUUAGCGGUUUCUGUUCCUUGAGCCAAGCCAGGCGAAGAGGCCCAGGAGAAGAAGAGCGUUUGGUUUUGCAGCCUGAAUCAAUCCAGAAAGGAGCUGGGGUGCCCCCCCCCCACUGCGACUCACUGCAACCCACUGCGACUCACUGCGACCCACUGCCUGCGGGGCUGCAGGGGGCCUGUUUCCUCCAUUUUUUGUCUCCAGAUUUAAACUCUAUAAUCUAACCACACACAGGGAGACUACUUUCUUCCCCUUGGUUCUUUCUGACCCUCACUGGGCAGAUGCAGGGUUCACAGCGCAGUUCCGGAAUCGUCAGUCGAUGCCACAUGUCCCAGCAGCCUCCUGACCUCCCUGCAGGCCAAGGAAUAACACCGUUAUCCGGCUGGCCCCAGUCACCACCUGCUUGGGGCUCCCCGUGCCCGCCUGGCCCCCAUGCAUCCAAAGUCCAUGCAUCCAGAGUCCAUGGCGGUGCCCAUGUUGCUGCUCAACCUCGUGGACCAGCUGGGGGAGGCGGACGAGGAGCUGGCGGGCAACUACGCGGAGCUGGGGGACUGGUGCGCCCAGAGGAUCCUGCAGCACUUUCAGGACAGCCACUUUGGUGGUGGUAGCAGGAUAUCCUGCUUGGAGAUGGUCGGACUUGGCAGGUGCCUGGAGGAUGAACUUCAGGAAGGUGUGGGAGAUGCAUUUGGCCAACUGUCACUAUCAGGGAGUGAACUUCUCAAAUUCAAGAAGAAUUUGGAACUCUGUCUCCGAAUGCUACUGUUAUUAUAAUUUUGUCGUCCACUUUCACCCUCCGACUGUCAGGGCCGGCCUUCCGCGACAGGGGCCAUGGUCUUAGCUGCCGGCACCUGUUUCUCGGGUUCCCGCGCCAUGUGCUCUCAGGCUUUACGCCAGCAGCUGCAUGAUGCCUGACGCUUUUCAAGCAGCCCACUGGACUUCGGAAGAAAAGUUUCAGUAGCAUGUUUUGCAGAAGGAACUUUGUCCCUAGGAUAAACAGUUUGGUCAAAUCUCAGAAAAUCUUUGUGUUUAGUUACUAUAGCAGUCCUUGUGACAGCAACUAUGUCCCUAAAGCACGUUAUAAAGUCUGGUGUGAAGGGUGUUUAGUCGAGAUCAAAUGUGUUUUAAGAGCCUUGUUUUUCCCUGAAACUUGGUUCCUUUCUUCAUGUGUUACAUUCUUUAUUAUUUCAAGAUCAGAGAUGAUUUCUCAAAGAAACAGUUGUAUACAAGUUGGGACAUAGUUCCUCCUGGAAGUUCUGCUUUAUUUCAUCCUGGCAAAAAUGAGAAUUCUCCAUAGGACUUUUUCCGAAAACACUCACGGCCUACGUGGAAUCAAACAACUGAAUGAUGCAUCCCAUUCUGAAAGUCGUUCUACUCAGUGCUACGAUGGGGUCCUCAGGGAAGUGGAGGGUCCCGGAGCAGCUGAGUGAAACUGAGGGCAGGAGCGAGGGGGCCAGAAACCGAGGGCACGUUAAAAAGCAGGAAACCCAAACCACUAUGCGAGUCUACCAAACCAGCGAGUGAGGAAUUAUUCUGUGUCGUAUUAUUAUUAACAACACAUAAACACUCUCUAUUUUAUAUGCUUUUAAAUUUAUUGUUAAAUACACAAGCAAAACAUGAAUAUAAUUCUCAUUUUAAAAUAUUAAACAAAUAGGAAUAAAAUAAAAGCUCCUUUUAGCCAUUCUCUAGGCCCCUCUCAAUUCCCCCUUUCCCGGAAGAUCCUUCCCGACAUUUCCUGCAUGUUUACAUGCAUAUAUGUACGGACACACUGGAGAGUUUCUCAUACUCUACGCUUAUUCUGCAACUUGCCCUCUCUCCCAAUUCCCCCUUUCCCAGAAGAUCCAUAAGGAAGCGUGCCUGGGAGAGAGUUUUUAAUUAUAGCUCUGUACUCCACAGCAUGGAUAUAGCAGACUUUGUUCCCAGCUUCCCCUCCUCGGUGCACAUUUAGGGGUCCUGCGGGGUUCCGCUGAUGGGCACAAUGCCGCAUGGACACUCUUGCCCCAUCACACACACACACACACACACACACACACACACAUGCGCACGCGCGAACACUGCUGUAAGAUUGAGUCAGGGAGGGCAGCGCUAGAUGGCUCCAACCAAGAGACCACCAAUGAUGCAGCUAGUGGCUUAGAGAAGACUGAACAUUGUUACUCGCUCUCAUAAGGGUCAGCCGAGCACUCCAGGUUGAAGGGACAUCUCUGUUCCACGCCGUCACUCAGGAAGCCCAGUGCUUCUCAAACCAUUUGUGGUGAAAGACCAGUUUAUGUCCACCCACCCACCCCCAAUCCAUUUUGCCCAAGGCUUUUGUAAAAUGCAAUAAAGAUAUCAUGGUGAUGUUGAGUUGCUA